UUUUAUGGAGUAACCUCCAAGUAUCUUAUAUGAUGAGUCACGAGAAUAGAGUUGGUGCUGGACUUUUAUUAUGAGGCAUAAAACCACUCCUCAACAGACCUAUAUUCGUAUUGAGCAAACAAAGUUCGUGGAGGCAAAACAAUCCUUCUUUAUAAAUUAAUACAUUUACUUCCCAAAACCUUUGAUUUCUAUAACCAACUAUCAAAGUAUUUCCCACUAGAACUAUAUAAUCUCCUAAAUAUAUUCUCAUAAUUACUGUGUUAGUAAGCCUGGUUUGGGAAGGAAUCUUUGGAAAGGAAGGAUUGUAAAAGCCAUAAUCCAGCAAAUAAACAAGAGGAAAUCAGCUUCUAAAGGUAAUUUUUUUUAAAACCUUGAGCUUAGUAUGAAGGAAUAUAAGGAAAUUUUAUAGCUUGGUUUGCCUAUGUAAUAUAUUGGGAAUUUUGAUAUUUGAUUUCUAUAUGAAAUUUUCUUUGAUGUACGUUCUAUAAGCUAUGAAGUCUAAGUCUUAUAGAUGUGAUCACCAAGUAUAUGAUAUAAUACUCAAUUGAGAAGUUAUUUCUAAAACUUGAGAAUUAGCAGAAUUUAAUAGAUGUAAAUAGGGUUUGAUAUCAUAAAAUGGAAAUCUAAUUUCUGCUAAAAAAAGCUUGUCUGGGUUUCAACUCGAAGUGGCCUGGCCGCGCCACUUCUCAAGUCAAGACCAGCGCGCCGUGCUGGUCCUUAGAAAGUGAAUUUUUUUCUUUUUUUUUUUUUGUAUUUCGAGUUUCUGAGCAUAUGUAUAGGAGUCUUGUAUUCUUUAAUAUGUUAUAUUUGGUGUCCAAAUUAUCCAUGAAUGGAUUGGUCUAUCAUGUAUGAAUUAAAUAAAUUUUCAAAUAAUUAGCUAAGAGGAGUUUUGAAAAAUAAAAGUAUAACCUAGCUUAGCUAGAAUCAUUUGAAGAUGUGUAUAUGUACGAUGUGCUUAUAAUGGUUCAGAUAAUGUCUAGCUAUAAGGAAAUAGACUUUGUUUAUCAUGUUCUGACAAAGUUUCCAAAUAAAGAACUAAAAUUUAUUUUAAAAAGUCAACUUGGAAGUAUUUUAAUGGAGACCUGAUUUGGUCUAAAACACCCCGAUUUAUGUGAAUAAUAUGAUAGCUUUAUUUAGAAAGGAACCUAGCAUAAUAUGGGUUGAGCAGAGCAUGAAAUAGCUCAGUUCAUAGCCUUAGAUGGAGUAGCGCGACCGCGUCACUGCUAAGCUUAUUUUUAAUACGGCAGCGCCGUGCUGCUGAGAUUUCAAGACAGGUUUGUUAUUUGUCUAAACCAUGUAGUAUACCUAAGCAAGUCCCUUAAACUGUAAUAAGAAAUUAACUUAUGAAGUGCUUAGCUUGUUCAAUUAUAGAAUGACUAGUCUAAACAAAGAUUUUUAAAAAGAAUGGCAAGACGAAUAAAAGGAAAUAAAAAGAGCAAGAUUAAAAAUCAAUAUACGUUAACGAGUUACACUAAGUUAAUAUGAUUUGAAUAUAUGUGUGUGUGACUGAUAUGUGCAUAUGAACUAAAUUGGUACAGGAUAUGUGAAGCGCAGGUAACCGUACGUUGUAAUUUUUGCGCAAGGCAAGUCUUUCAGUUCCUAUUUGCUAUAUGGGCUUUACAUGAUUAUAUGAAUUAUAUAAUACAAUUGUGGAAUGAUGAAGGUCAAUGGUUGACUAAAUCUGAUUGAGUUUUGGAAACUCCGUCUUAAAUUUAUAUUUGAUAUUAAUGUGUUACAUAUGUUGCUUAAAUUGUAUUAAUCUUGAGAUAUGAUUUGGGCAUGUUAUUAUGUGAAGCAUGGAAAUUGUUAGAUUUGUUGAGCUGUCGAGCUCAAUCUUAUAAAAAUAAACUUUUUGCAGAUCCAAGGUUCAAUGUUAUACUACUUAUUAUCUAGAAGACAUGGAUAUGAAGAUGUGCAAUGGAAUAUUGUUUCCUUUAGUUGAAACUUAGAUGGUACUAUGAUGAUGAUGUACAAGAUAUAGAUGUAUAAAUUUCUUAAAUGUUCAAUGAAUGGAAAUAUUUGUUUUGAAAUGAGAAUGUAUUGUGGUUAUUGUUUAUAUGUAGAAUUAUAUAGGUAGCGCAUCAAUAUAAAAGAUGUUAAGCAUUGGGA
rnacentral:lncRNA from 1 species